rnacentral:rRNA from 1 species
UGGGGAAUUUUGGACAAUGGGCGCAAGCCUGAACCAGCCAUGCCGCGUGCAGGAAGACGGCCCUCUGGGUUGUAAACUGCUUUUAUUCGGGAAUAAACCUAUCUACGUGUAGAUAGCUGAAUGUACCGAAGGAAUAAGGAUCGGCUAACUCCGUGCCAGCAGCCGCGGUAAUACGGAGGAUCCAAGCGUUAUCCGGAUUUAUUGGGUUUAAAGGGUGCGUAGGCGGCCUGUUAAGUCAGGGGUGAAAGACGGUGGCUCAACCAUCGCAGUGCCCUUGAUACUGAUGGGCUUGAAUGGACUAGAGGUAGGCGGAAUGUGACAAGUAGCGGUGAAAUGCAUAGAUAUGUCACAGAACACCGAUUGCGAAGGCAGCUUGCUAUGGUUUUAUUGACGCUGAGGCACGAAAGCGUGGGGAUCGAACA